AUUGAACGCAGGCGGUAGGCCUAACACAUGCAAGUCGAACGGCAGCACAGGAGAGCUUGCUCUCUGGGUGGCGAGUGGCGGACGGGUGAGGAAUACAUCGGAAUCUACUUUUUCGUGGGGGAUAACGUAGGGAAACUUACGCUAAUACCGCAUACGACCUACGGGUGAAAGCAGGGGAUCUUCGGACCUUGCGCGAUUGAAUGAGCCGAUGUCGGAUUAGCUAGUUGGCGGGGUAAAGGCCCACCAAGGCGACGAUCCGUAGCUGGUCUGAGAGGAUGAUCAGCCACACUGGAACUGAGACACGGUCCAGACUCCUACGGGAGGCAGCAGUGGGGAAUAUUGGACAAUGGGCGCAAGCCUGAUCCAGCCAUACCGCGUGGAUGAAGAAGGCCUUCGGGCUGUAAAGCCCUUUUGUUGGGAAAGAAAUCCAGCUGGUUAAUACCCGGUUGGGAUGACGGUACCCAAAGAAUAAGCACCGGCUAACUUCGUGCCAGCCGCCGCGGUAA
rnacentral:rRNA from 1 species